rnacentral:rRNA from 2 species
GUGCUUAACACAUGCAAGUCGAACGGAAAGGCCCUUCGGGGUACUCGAGUGGCGAACGGGUGAGUAACACGUGGGUGAUCUGCCCUGCACUUCGGGAUAAGCCUGGGAAACUGGGUCUAAUACCGGAUAUGACCUUGGGAUGCAUGUCCCUUGGUGGAAAGCUUUUGCGGUGUGGGAUGGGCCCGCGGCCUAUCAGCUUGUUGGUGGGGUUAAGGCCUACCAAGGCGACGACGGGUAGCCGGCCUGAGAGGGUGACCGGCCACACUGGGACUGAGAUACGGCCCAGACUCCUACGGGAGGCAGCAGUGGGGAAUAUUGCACAAUGGGCGCAAGCCUGAUGCAGCGACGCCGCGUGAGGGACGACGGCCUUCGGGUUGUAAACCUCUUUCAGCACAGACGAAGCGCGAGUGACGGUAUGUGCAGAAGAAGGACCGGCCAACUACGUGCCAGCAGCCGCGGUAAUACGUAGGGUCCGAGCGUUGUCCGGAAUUACUGGGCGUAAAGAGCUCGUAGGUGGUUUGUCGCGUUGUUCGUGAAAUC